CUUGAAAUGCACUUCUUGUUGUGGAUACUGAUGGUAGCCUUGUGGGUGUCCUAUUCAAGGCCCCUAGUGUAUAAGGCUCAGUUCAAAAAAGGCGGUACAUUUAACUAAUGGCUGUCUAACGGCCAAAGGUGAGCAACUGCAAGUAGGACAAUUCGUCCAGGACAAUAACACGUGCGGUGUUAUACGUUGUGAAGGACGAGAUGGCAAAGCCCUCAUUAUGUAUUGCCAGAUACCAUUGCCCUUCGCACAAUGCUCAGUUGACUACAUAUCCACUGCAGAACCUUUUCCCAGGUGCUGUUGGACUUGCGUUCACGUAAUUGAUUGCUAUUAACUAAAUACUGAGUUAGUUUAAUAUAUAUUUCAUUUGAAAACCACAAAA